rnacentral:rRNA from 1 species
GACGAACGCUGGCGGCGUGCCUAACACAUGCAAGUCGAACGGGGUAGCAAUACCCAGUGGCGGACGGGUGCGUAACACGUGAGGAACAUGUCUUUCGGCGGGGAAUAGCCGGCCUAACGGCCGGGUAAUACCGCGUACGACGAUCGAGGCGCAUGUCUUGAUCGUGAAAGCAGCAAUGCACCGAUAGAGUGCCUCGCGGCCUAUCAGCUAGUUGGUGGGGUAACGGCUCACCAAGGCGACGACGGGUAGCUGGUCUGAGAGGAUGAUCAGCCACAUUGGGACUGAGACACGGCCCAGACUCCUACGGGAGGCAGCAGUGGGGAAUAUUGCGCAAUGGGCGAAAGCCUGACGCAGCGACGCCGCGUGUGGGAUGAAGGUCUUCGGAUUGUAAACCACUGUCGGGAGGGACGAAUGCGCCGCAAGGCGAGUGACGGUACCUCCAAAGGAAGCACCGGCUAACUCUGUGCCAGCAGCCGUGGUAAUACG